AUUGAACGCUGGCGGCAGGCCUAACACAUGCAAGUCGAGCGAGCGGCGGACGGGUGAGUAAUGUAUGGGGACUGCCCGAUAGAGGGGGAUAACUACUGGAAACGGUGGCUAAUACCGCAUACUAUCGGAUAACCCAUAUGGGAUUAGCUAGUAGGUGGGGUAAAGGCACACCUAGGCGACGAUCUCUAGCUGGUCUGAGAGGAUGAUCAGCCAGAUUGGGAAGGAGACACAGCCCAGAAGCCUACGGAGGCAGCAGUGGGGAAUAUUGCACAAUGGGCGCAGUCCUGAUGCAGCAAUGCCGCUUGUAUGAAGAGGGCCUUAGAGUUGUAAAGUACUUUCAGAGGGGAGGCGUUAUCCGCAGAAGAAGCACCGGCUAACUCCGUGCCAGCAGCCGCGGUAAUAC
rnacentral:rRNA from 1 species